UCGAGGAUCUUCGUCAAUGGGGGAAACCCUGAACGAGCGAUGCCGCGUGAGCGAUGAAGGCCUUCGGGUUGUAAAGCUCAAAAGUGAAGAGAAAGGGAAACUUGAUCGAUUCACAGUAAGCUCGGGCUAAGUUCGUGCCAGCAGCCGCGGUAAGACGAACCGAGCGAACGUUGUUCGGAAUCACUGGGCUUAAAGGGCGCGUAGGCGGGUGCUCAAGUCUGUGGUGAAAUCCUCCAGCUUAACUGGAGAACUGCCAUGGAUACUGGGUGUCUCGAGGAACGUAGGGGUAUGCGGAACGAUUGGUGGAGCGGUGAAAUGCGUUGAUAUCAAUCGGAACUCCGGUGGCGAAGGCGGCAUACUGGACGUUAUCUGACGCUGAGGCGCGAAAGCCAGGGGAGCAAACGG
rnacentral:rRNA from 1 species